rnacentral:tRNA from 1 species
GUGAAUAUAAUUUAAUUAAAAUAUUAGGUUGUGAUCCUAAAAAUGAAAAUUAACCCUUUCUAUUCACC